CAUAUUUUGGUUAUUUAGUUAGUUUUCAUUGCAGUGAUGGCUAAUGGCAUCUAAUCUUACCACUGUUUGACUCAAGAGUGAUGAUUCUCUGUUUUGUCUUCUGUCAAUGUGCAAGUGUUCACCCUGAACCAGACAAACGCCCUGCAGAUCCCAUCCAAUCCACAGACCCUUCAGAGCCACAUGCAGCUGCCGCCCGUACAGGGAAACAACAGGUUCAGGGUUCCUGUGUCGCAUCAGAUGUCUUCAGUACCCUUGUCAUCUCACCAAAACACUCCCAAACUCCCCAGAUACUCCAGCCAUCCCAGGACAUCCCACCCUGACAGUUUCUCUGCCGAUGUCCAGACCGUGUUCUCAUACGGUGACUCACCGCAGGCUGCCAAACACAUUCCUCCCUGUUCCAUGAUGCAGAUGCCCAUGUUUGAGGACAAUCUGGGCUCCUCAGACCU
rnacentral:lncRNA from 1 species